rnacentral:rRNA from 1 species
UACGUAGGGUGCAAGCGUUAAUCGGAAUUACUGGGCGUAAAGCGUGCGCAGGCGGUUUUGUAAGUCAGAUGUGAAAUCCCCGGGCUUAACCUGGGAACUGCGUUUGAAACUACAAGGCUAGAGUGUGGCAGAGGGGGUGGAAUUCCACGUGUAGCAGUGAAAUGCGUAGAUAUGCGGAGGAACACCGAUGGCGAAGGCAAUCCCCUGGGCCUGUACUGACGCUCAUGCACGAAAGCGUGGGGAGCAAACAGG